rnacentral:rRNA from 1 species
AGCGAACGCUGGCGGCAGGCUUAACACAUGCAAGUCGAACGCCCCGCAAGGGGAGUGGCAGACGGGUGAGUAACACGUGGGAACGUGCCCUUGGUUCGGAAUAACUCAGGGAAACUUGAGCUAAUACCGGAUACGCCCUGGAGCAAUCCGGGGGAAAGAUUUAUCGUCGAAGGAUCGGCCCGCGUCUGAUUAGCUAGUUGGUGAGGUAACGGCUCACCAAGGCGACGAUCAGUAGCGGUCUGAGAGGAUGAUCAGCCACACUGGGACUGAGACACGGCCCAGACUCCUACGGGAGGCAGCAGUGGGGAAUAUUGGACAAUGGGCGCAAGCCUGAUCCAGCCAUGCCGCGUGAGUGAUGAAGGCCCUAGGGUUGUAAAGCUCUUUUGUGCGGGACGAU